AUGUGGAGCAAGGGCUCUCGGGAGCUGAUGGGCAAGUGGGCUCAGCCAGCACACACCAAGGGGGCGGCAGUUUUCCUGGAGGGUCCUCCCGAACCAUUUCCCACCAUGGAUCUGCACAUAGGGCAGGCCCUUCUCCCACCCACUCUCCCCUCUUUCCUGCCCCAGGCUUCCUGGACUUACAGUAAUGCCCAGGCAGACAGAGGAGAACACCUUGCAGUCCUGCUCGGAGCUGGGAGUGGCAGCCAUGGGUCAAACUGCAAUUUCAGGCAUCAAGAUGGGAGAGACUCCUCCUGGCACCCUCUCCCACCCUGCCCCUCCAGGAAGGCAAGCUCCCCAAUACAACCCCCUGUCCUCCUGGUCCACUCAGGCCCCUACUUUGGCCUCUCAGCCAAGCCCAGCUUCCAGCUCCCCGAGCACCAAGCAGUCCCAGGGAGCCAGCCUGCAGAAACAGGAGAGCACACAACGCAAACCCGCACUCCCAAGCCCUCCUGUGGGGCAGGAGAGCCAGGAUCAUCUCCCUCCACCCCUCUGCAAUCCCAUGUAGGGAGCACCGGUGUGACCAUUUUACAGAUGGAGAAAGUGAGGGGGAAAGAGGAGACGCACAGGCGCAGGUCCCCGCAGGAAGCAGCGGCCCUGCAGCUGUCAGCUGGCGGCCCUCCACAGUCAUACUUCUCACUGCCAAUUCCCAGGUCGCCCCUCCCCUCCACCCCAGCACACCCCCCCCCAGCCUUCACCCCACCCGUGGGUCGGGGAGACGGACCCUCCACCCUCACGGCCCCGACUCUGCCCUUCCCGGCACCUCUGCGGCUCACUCCUCACAGGUGCAUUUACAGACCUGGCUCGUGGGGGGAAGGAUGCUCAGAGCAAGUGGAGGGGGUGAGCCCGCCAGCUUCUGCUUUUCUUGCUUUGGGGGAACCACUUCCCUUAUUCCCCAGUUCCGAUGUCCAACCACAGCAGGGGCGAGGGGCGGAGGCAGGCGAGGGGGAGAGCGGGCAGGAGGAGGAGGCGGUGCCGGGCCUCCCCAGCUGCGUCCCAUCUGCCCCGGGCAGGCGGCCAGGCAAGGUAAGAGAAACCCGCUGCCCCGCCAGGAGCCGGCUCAGUGGCUUUGAAGCGUGA
rnacentral:lncRNA from 1 species